UACGAGUUGUGCAAACGUUAUUCGGAAUCACUGGGCUUAAAGGGUGCGUAGGCGGCUGCGAAAGUCAGAUGUGAAAUCCCUCGGCUCAACCGAGGAACUGCAUUUGAAACUGCGCAGCUAGAGGAAGACAGAGGUGAGCGGAACUGAUGGUGGAGCGGUGAAAUGCGUUGAUAUCAUCAGGAACACCGGUGGCGAAAGCGGCUCACUGGGUCUUAUCUGACGCUGAGGCACGAAAGCCAGGGGAGCAAACGGG
rnacentral:rRNA from 1 species